UCGACUUAGUUCACACUUCACACCAAGUUUAUUCAAAGUCACUAACUUAUAGUCUAAAGAUGGAUAUACACAAAUGAGUCAAAGAGAAUGUCGGAUGCUAAGGAGCAUUCUUCACCUAAAUUCUAUGCUCUAGAUGCUAAUUUAAUUUAUGUGAAAUUUAACUCGGGUGCGAUCCCAUGAACGGGCGAAUGGUUUUGGUUUUUUUUCUAUAUAACUACACAUUUUGUAACGAUUAUAUAAAUGUUAGAGUUAACAACCAUCAAAGAGUCUGGGUGGUGUAGUUGGUUAUCACGUUAGUCUCACACACUAAAGGUCCCCGGUUCGAACCCGGGCUCAGACACUUUUUAAAUCUUUUUUUUCUUGCUGGAAAUAGAAAUAAUAAAAGCUGGAAAUAGAAAUAAUCAAAUAAAUUUGAUAUUAGCUUUAUAAAUUGUCAUGAUAUGUAUGUAUAUAAAGCAACUAUUUCAAACCAAAAAAAUAGUAAAUUACCACAAGAUAAUUUAGAACAUAAAUCUCAUGCGCAUGCCUUAUUUUUCUGAAAUCCAUGCGGACAUCAAAUUGAUUCAUGCGGCUAUGCGCUAAUUCUGUUUAUUUUUCUAAGCUUUCUGUUAAUUAUGAAAUGACAACAAUACCCAUUCGUCUUAGCUUUUUGUUUCUUUCCGGUUAUAUUCAUCUCUUUGGUGAGCUAGAGAGAGAAAAUGAUUGAUAAAGACGGAUAGAAAGAGAGAGAGAGAGAGAUCAAAUAGAUCGAGAUUGUGUUCUUGAUUCAAGGCGGAUAGAUAGAAAGAGAGAGAGAGAGAGAUCCUCACUCCAAUCUGUACUUAGAUCUGUAGUUGCAAUCAUUUGAGUCAGUACAAUUGUGAAUGCUACGUACUACCAGUUAGUACAAUUGUAAAUGCUACUGACCCGUCCAAGUGUAUGCCCGGUCCGACGGCACGCCCUCGGGGCGUCGUCGUCGGACGGGCUUGAAGAAGUGAGUCCAGUCCGAGUGAAGGUCGCGUGGUGGCUGCGGAGCUGUCCAGAUCGCCUGCGGGUCAACGAUGGUUGGUUGGCAACCAGGCGGGGAUGGGAUUUCGAUGGGGAGUUCUCGGGCCGGCGGGGCGGGGCAGGGCUGGUUCUCUGGUUGUCAAAGCGGCGACGCGAGUCCCAAACGGUGCCGGCCGGAGUGCAAGCACAGAUCAGGUUGGGCGUGUUGCGUGGGGAAGAUCUGGGUUCGAGAGAUCGAUUACCGGUCUGCUCUAUCCUAGGUUGGAGCGUGGGCGGUCUGCUUUCUCUCGGGGCACAGUAGAUGGAGGGGGAGAUGCCGCCGGUGAUGGGAAGGUAGGAGAGUUGCUGGCGAGAUGGUGGUGGCAUGGCUGCAGCGGGCUUUCAAUCAGACUUGGGCUCGGUGAUGAUUGGGUCUGGGCUUUGGCUCAUGGCCCAUGGUGUUUUAAUCUUUUAUUUAAGUGUUAUUGCUUUUUAUGUUUCAUUAGCUAUGGCUUUAUGCCGGCAAUAAAUUCCUAUCUCUUGUUGAUAGGGAAAAGUGGGCUUGGUUCCGGUAUGCACACUCAGUGUGCCUGGUCGGCCCUAGCGAGGAAGCGAGCUAUUUGCUUGAUCAAAUGGAAGCAACCUCCUAGUGGCAGGAUGAAAUUAAGUGUCGCUGGAUUUAUUUCUGUGCGGCAACAUAGUGGGAAAGCUGUGCUAUUUGUAAUGAUGCUUCUUCGUUAUAGAGUUAUCUUUCCGGUAUGUCACCGCUAUGUCAAAGCAAAUGGAGUAGUCAUUUGUGCACUCUUUGCUAAUUGGUGCUUGUUAGAAUACAUAGAUUUUAUUAAGAGUCCUGGUAUUAUUUCAGGAUGUUCUCUCUAUGCUUAUUGUAAUAUGGGGUUUAGGCUCUACGUCCCCCCCUUGUAUUCUGCAAUUUCAUUAAUCAAGACUUAAGGGCAGCCGCACCAGCCCAUUUU